AGGGUUUAGGUUUCAGGGUUUAGG
rnacentral:siRNA from 1 species